GUUAGGAAUAUUGGACAAUGGGCGAAAGCCUGAUCCAGUCAUGCCGCGUGUGUGAAGAAGGUCUUCGGAUUGUAAAGCACUUUAAGUUGGGAGGAAGGGCAGUAAGUUAAUACCUUGCUGUUUUGACGUUACCGACGGAAUAAGCACCGGCUAACUUCGUGCCAGCAGCCGCGGUAAUACGAAGGGUGCAAGCGUUAAUCGGAAUUACUGGGCGUAAAGCGCGCGUAGGUGGUUUUGUAAGUUGGAGGUGAAAUCCCCGGGCUCAACCUGGGAACUGCCUCCAAAACUGCAUGACUAGAGUACGGUAGAGGGUAGUGGAAUUUCCUGUGUAGCGGUGAAAUGCGUAGAUAUAGGAAGGAACACCAGUGGCGAAGGCGACUACCUGGACUGAUACUGACACUGAGGUGCGAAAGCGUGGGGAGCAAACAGGAUAAGAAACCCCAGUAGUCC
rnacentral:rRNA from 1 species